rnacentral:rRNA from 1 species
AUUGAACGCUGGCGGCAGGCCUAACACAUGCAAGUCGAGCGGUAGAGAGGAGCUUGCUUCUCUUGAGAGCGGCGGACGGGUGAGUAAUGCCUAGGAAUCUGCCUGGUAGUGGGGGAUAACGUUCGGAAACGGACGCUAAUACCGCAUACGUCCUACGGGAGAAAGUGGGGGAUCUUCGGACCUCACGCUAUCAGAUGAGCCUAGGUCGGAUUAGCUAGUUGGUGAGGUAAAGGCUCACCAAGGCGACGAUCCGUAACUGGUCUGAGAGGAUGAUCCGUCACCUUGGAACUGAGACACGGUCCAGACUGCUACGGGAGGCAGCAGUGGGGAAGAUUGGCCCAUGGCUGCAAGCCUGAUCCAGCCAUGCCGCGUGUUUGAAGAAGGUCUUCUGAUUGUCAAGCACUUUAAGUUGGGAGGAAGGUCAGUAGCUUAAUACGUUGCUGAUUUGACGUUACCGACAGAAUAAGCACCGGCUAACUCUGUGCCAGCCGCCGCGGUAAAAC